GAUGAACGAGGAUGGGUUCGGAGGAGAAACGUCCCUUGAGCUCUAUGAAUGCCCUGUCAGCCUCGGGAUUCCUGCAAAAACCUGCUUGAGUGAGGUGGGACAGGGCCGUAAAUGUUCCGGAGGGGGUUUUGGAGAAGAUCGGGAUGUUGUCGAGGUGAACAAAGACGAACCGGUUCAACAUAUCCCUAAGAGUAUCAUUGAUCAAUGCCUGAAAGACUGCUGAUUUUAAGCGUUGCAGAGGUCCAGUUUGGUGAAGAAUUGGAUUCUUAGUGCCAACUCCGAGGCGGCGGACAUCGGGUAGGGGGUAACAAUUCUUGAUCGUAAUCCUUUUCAGCCCUCUGUAAUUGAUUCAAGGACUGAAGUUUGGGUCAGAGACAGAGAGACAAGGGAUGCGAUUAGACAUGCAGCCCAAUUAUGAUAUUUUUUCACUAAUUGGUCUUUUGACCAAUCACAUUAGAUAUUUUCGUAUCAGCUCUUUUUCGGGGAAUAUCUGAUUGGUCAAAAUACCAAAUACUCAAAAAAAAUGACUGAAUUGGGCUGCCUGUCUCAACGAAUCCAUAGAAACCUGGACAUGCUCCAACUGAAAUGUUCCCUCCUGUCAGUACUGAUGUUGAAUGGCAUUAAAUACACUUGAAACUCCAGCACACUAGUAGCACUAAAGAUGUGUGAGUAUAACUUUCCAGGUGAGUUGAACCUGCCUGUGGGUGCAGUGGGGAUAUUCCUGGGAGGUCUACUGAUGAAGAGGUAUAAGCUUGGCAUUGUGUCUGGAUCCCAGAUGUCUUUCGUCAUCUCCUUCAUGGCCUACCUCCUCCUCCCUCUGCAGUCUGGCACUAAGUGUGACAACGUUCAGGUGGCUGGUCUGACCCUGUCCUAUAACGGCCUGUUGUCAGAAUGUAACUGAGACUGCUCCUGCUUGGCUGGGAAGUGGGACCCUGUGUGUUCAGACAACGGCAUCACCUACACCCCCAGCCUCGCAGGCUGCUCCAGCUUUACAGGUUACAGCAAGAACACGGUACCAAUACUAUUAAUGUACUGAGAGUACAAAACAUUCACAGGGAUGCCGGCCCAUGUUGACUCCAAUGGCUCCCACAUUUGUGUCAAGUUGGCUGUAUGUCUUUUGAGUGGUGGACCAUUUUUGAUACACACGGGAAACUGUUGAGCGUAAACAACCCAGCAGCGUUGCAGUUCUUGACACAAACUGGUACCCCUGGCACCUACUACCAUGCCCCGUUGAAAGGCACGUAAAUAUUUUGUCUUGUCCAUUCACCCUCUGAAUGGCACACACACACAAUCCAUGUCUCAAUUGUCUCAAGCUUUACAAUAUAUUUUUUAAACCUUUCUCCUCCUCUUUAUCUACACUGAUUUCAGUGGAUUUAACUAGUGACAUCCAUAAGGGAUUAUAUCUUUAACCUGGAUUCACCUGGUCAGCAUAUGUCAUGGAAAGAGCAGGUGUUCUUAAUGUUUUAUACACUCAGUGUAACUCAUGGCACUGACAUGUACCACUGCAUAUACAUUCAGAGAGUUUGGUAUUUUUCCUGGAGGGCCACAACUUUCAACUGUUCUGCCUGCGGCUAUGGAAUCCUGACCUGUUCACCGGACGUGCUACCUGUCCCAGACCUAUUAUUUUGACCAUGCAGGUAAUUUUUGAACAUCUUGGCCAUGUUCUGUUAUAAUCUCCACCCGGCACAGCCAGAAGAGGACUGGCCACCCCUCAUAGCCUGGUUCCUGUCUAGGUUUCUUCCUAGGUUUUGGCCUUUCUAGGGAGUUUUUCCUAGCCAACGUGCUUCAAGACCUGCAAUGCUUGCUGUUUGGGGUUUUAGGCUGGGUUUCUGUACAGCACUUUGAGAUAUCAGCUGAUUUACGAAGGGCUAUAUAAAUAAAUUUGAUUGGAUUUCAAUUUGUCCGUGAUGUGUACGCCGAGGAACUUAACUUUCCACUUCUCCACUACUGUCCUGUUGAUGUGGAUAGGGAGGAUGCUCCCUCUGCUGUUUCCUGAAGUCCACGAUCAUCUCCUUUGUUUUGUUGAGUUUGAGGUUAUUUUCCUGACACCACUCCCGAGGGUGUAGCAUAAGAACAGCUUCAUUGGCACAAUGGACAAUAACCUUGCACGAUGUUCUAAUCUAACAUUCUAAUCUAUAUCUGCUUAAUAUGUAAAUUAUUUCAGUGUUGGAGCCCCUGGCUAUCCAUAAAUGAAGAAAAAAAACAAGAAUAUGGUGCCGUCUGGUUUGCUUAUUAAUAUAAGGAAAUGUAAAUUAUUUAUAGAUUUAUAAGUAUCAAAAAUGUAUAUUUAAAAUCAAAUACUUUUAGACUAUUGCUCUAGUAUUUUACUGGGUGGCUUUAACUCUAAAGUAAAGAUACAUUCAUAGAAAAUGACUCAUGUAUAACAAUUGGGUAAUUUUUCCAACACUGCACUGGUUCGUAGUCGCCCUCAAGAGUUCUUCUCAAAUUACUGCAUUUGAUUUGUUAUUUAAAAAAAUGAUUUUACCUUAUUUAACGAGGCAAGUCAGUUAAGAACACAUUCUUAUUUACAAUGUUAUCUAUUGCUCAUCAUUGCUGUCAUUACUUAUUUAUUUGUUGUCUCAUCACAUUUUUGUACAAAAAAACGGAAACGGAGCUUAUACACCAGUAUUUAUUGUUUCGAGUGGUCUUUUUAGUGGUAUGGGGAUCCAGUAUUGCGUCGCUGAUUGCAUUGAUUGACAGAUCUUCCCUGAAGUUGUUUUAUUACGUCAAAGUGCAUUCACAUUAUGACGUUGGCCGAGUUACCGUAUAAAAUGCGGUAGUUUAUCUCUUUGGUAAUCACUUGGUAAAGUUUUACAUGAUAGGAACAUAGGCUCCAGCCAUAGACAUUAACCAUGGAGGAUAAUAAGGUAAGCCUAUGAGUUG